CCUACGGGAGGCAGCAGUAGGGAAUCUUCCACAAUGGGCGAAAGCCUGAUGGAGCAACGCCGCGUGGGUGAAGAAGGUCUUCGGAUCGUAAAACCCUGUUGUUAGAGAAGAAAGUGCGUGAGAGUAACUGUUCACGUUUCGACGGUAUCUAACCAGAAAGCCACGGCUAACUACGUGCCAGCAGCCGCGGGAAUACGUAGGUGGCAAGCGUUAUCCGGAUUUAUUGGGCGUAAAGGGAACGCAGGCGGUCUUUUAAGUCUGAUGGGAAAGCCUUCGGCUUAACCGGAGUAGUGCAUUGGAAACUGGGAGACUUGAGUGCAGAAGAGGAGAGUGGAACUCCAUGUGGAGCGGUGAAAUGCGUAGAUAUAUGGAAGAACACCAGUGGCGAAAGCGGCUCUCUGGUCUGUAACUGACGCUGAGGUUCGAAAGCGUGGGUAGCAAACAGGAUUAGAUACCCGGGUAGUC
rnacentral:rRNA from 1 species